AGCUACAGGUAGUUGUAGUUUUUGGGUUAUUAUACAUACUGAUGCUUAUGUCUUGCUGGAGCGAGUAUUUUGUUUACCUGGAUGUGAUGUAUGUAUAGUGAACCUCUGAUGUUUAUAUAUAUUUUAUUUUGGCAGCUUUAUACUACUGAUUGUAGUGUUGUAUGAUUACAGGUACAGGUACAGCUAUUGCUUCGUAUACAGGAGAAAUUUCUUGUAUACGGCGGAUUUGUCGGCGUGCCCGGAGAAACGAGUAAUUUGGGGCGUGACAAAUUUAAUUAUAAGUUUAAAAUAUAAAAAUUUAAAUUCAAUUAUAGGGAUAUUAUCAUUAUAACUAACAACUAUUACUCUUAUUCCAAAUAACCAUCCAAACGUAAUUUUUCUAGUUCAAGCUUAUACUCACAUUUUCAUCCAAGCAAAAAAAUACACUUGUUCUUACAAAAAUCUGUACUUGUACCUAUCCCCGGUGUAACUAGUUCCUACUAAUUUCCGAACCAAACGGAGCCUAAAGAUUUAUGUACAU
rnacentral:lncRNA from 1 species